rnacentral:rRNA from 1 species
GUUGGUGGUUAUAGCGAGGAGGUUCACCUCUUCCCAUUCCGAACAGAGAAGUUAAGCUCCUCAGCGCCGAUGGUACUGCCUUUAGGUGGGAGAGUAGGUCGCCGCCAACU